rnacentral:rRNA from 1 species
UCCAGACUCCUACGGGAGGCAGCAGUGGGGAAUAUUGCACAAUGGGGGAAACCCUGAUGCAGCGACGCCGCGUGAGCGAUGAAGCAUUUCGGUAUGUAAAGCUCUAUCAGCAGGGAAGAAGAUGACGGUACCUGACUAAGAAGCCCCGGCUAACUACGUGCCAGCAGCCGCGGUAAUACGUAGGGGGCAAGCGUUAUCCGGAUUUACUGGGUGUAAAGGGAGCGUAGACGGCGAUGCAAGCCAGAUGUGAAAGCCCGGGGCUCAACCCCGGGACUGCAUUUGGAACUGUGUGGCUGGAGUGUCGGAGAGGCAGGCGGAAUUCCUAGUGUAGCGGUGAAAUGCGUAGAUAUUAGGAGGAACACCAGUGGCGAAGGCGGCCUGCUGGACGACAACUGACGGUGAGGCGCGAAAGCGUGGGGAGCAAACAGGAUUAGAUACCCCGGUACG